rnacentral:rRNA from 1 species
GAUUAAGUUAUUAAGGGCGCACGGUGGAUGCCUUGGCACUAGAAGCCGAUGAAGGACGUUACUAACGACGAUAUGCUUUGGGGAGCUGUAAGUAAGCUUUGAUCCAGAGAUUUCCGAAUGGGGAAACCCAGCAUGAGUUAUGUCAUGUUAUCGAUAUGUGAAUACAUAGCAUAUCAGAAGGCACACCCGGAGAACUGAAACAUCUUAGUACCCGGAGGAAGAGAAAGAAAAUUCGAUUCCCUUAGUAGCGGCGAGCGAAACGGGAAGAGCCCAAACCAACAAGCUUGCUUGUUGGGGUUGUAGGACACUCUAUACGGAGUUACAAAGGACGACAUUAGACGAAUCAUCUGGAAAGAUGAAUCAAAGAAGGUAAUAAUCCUGUAGUCGAAAAUGUUGUCUCUCUUGAGUGGAUCCUGAGUACGACGGAGCACGUGAAAUUCCGUCGGAAUCUGGGAGGACCAUCUCCUAAGGCUAAAUACUCUCUAGUGACCGAUAGUGAACCAGUACCGUGAGGGAAAGGUGAAAAGCACCCCGGAAGGGGAGUGAAAUAGAACCUGAAACCGUGUGCUUACAAGUAGUCAGAGCCCGUUAAUGGGUGAUGGCGUGCCUUUUGUAGAAUGAACCGGCGAGUUACGAUUUGAUGCAAGGUUAAGCAGUAAAUGUGGAGCCGUAGCGAAAGCGAGUCUGAAUAGGGCGUUUAGUAUUUGGUCGUAGACCCGAAACCAGGUGAUCUACCCUUGGUCAGGUUGAAGUUCAGGUAACACUGAAUGGAGGACCGAACCGACUUACGUUGAAAAGUGAGCGGAUGAACUGAGGGUAGCGGAGAAAUUCCAAUCGAACCUGGAGAUAGCUGGUUCUCUCCGAAAUAGCUUUAGGGCUAGCCUCAAGUGAUGAUUAUUGGAGGUAGAGCACUGUUUGGACGAGGGGCCCCUCUCGGGUUACCGAAUUCAGACAAACUCCGAAUGCCAAUUAAUUUAACUUGGGAGUCAGAACAUGGGUGAUAAGGUCCGUGUUCGAAAGGGAAACAGCCCAGACCACCAGCUAAGGUCCCAAAAUAUAUGUUAAGUGGAAAAGGAUGUGGCGUUGCCCAGACAACUAGGAUGUUGGCUUAGAAGCAGCCAUCAUUUAAAGAGUGCGUAAUAGCUCACUAGUCGAGUGACACUGCGCCGAAAAUGUACCGGGGCUAAACAUAUUACCGAAGCUGUGGAUUGUCCUUUGGACAAUGGUAGGAGAGCGUUCUAAGGGCGUUGAAGCAUGAUCGUAAGGACAUGUGGAGCGCUUAGAAGUGAGAAUGCCGGUGUGAGUAGCGAAAGACGGGUGAGAAUCCCGUCCACCGAUUGACUAAGGUUUCCAGAGGAAGGCUCGUCCGCUCUGGGUUAGUCGGGUCCUAAGCUGAGGCCGACAGGCGUAGGCGAUGGAUAACAGGUUGAUAUUCCUGUACCACCUAUAAUCGUUUUAAUCGAUGGGGGGACGCAGUAGGAUAGGCGAAGCGUGCGAUUGGAUUGCACGUCUAAGCAGUAAGGCUGAGUAUUAGGCAAAUCCGGUACUCGNNNNNNNNNNNNNNNNNNNNNNNNNNNNNNNNNNNNNNNNNNNNNNNNNNNNNNNNNNNNNNNNNNNNNNNNNNNNNNNNNNNNNNNNNNNNNNNNUCGUUAAGGCUGAGCUGUGAUGGGGAGAAGACAUUGUGUCUUCGAGUCGUUGAUUUCACACUGCCGAGAAAAGCCUCUAGAUAGAAAAUAGGUGCCCGUACCGCAAACCGACACAGGUAGUCAAGAUGAGAAUUCUAAGGUGAGCGAGCGAACUCUCGUUAAGGAACUCGGCAAAAUGACCCCGUAACUUCGGGAGAAGGGGUGCUCUUUAGGGUUAACGCCCAGAAGAGCCGCAGUGAAUAGGCCCAAGCGACUGUUUAUCAAAAACACAGGUCUCUGCUAAACCGUAAGGUGAUGUAUAGGGGCUGACGCCUGCCCGGUGCUGGAAGGUUAAGAGGAGUGGUUAGCUUCUGCGAAGCUACGAAUCGAAGCCCCAGUAAACGGCGGCCGUAACUAUAACGGUCCUAAGGUAGCGAAAUUCCUUGUCGGGUAAGUUCCGACCCGCACGAAAGGCGUAACGAUUUGGGCACUGUCUCAACGAGAGACUCGGUGAAAUCAUAGUACCUGUGAAGAUGCAGGUUACCCGCGACAGGACGGAAAGACCCCGUGGAGCUUUACUGUAGCCUGAUAUUGAAAUUCGGCACAGCUUGUACAGGAUAGGUAGGAGCCUUUGAAACGUGAGCGCUAGCUUACGUGGAGGCGCUGGUGGGAUACUACCCUAGCUGUGUUGGCUUUCUAACCCGCACCACUUAUCGUGGUGGGAGACAGUGUCAGGCGGGCAGUUUGACUGGGGCGGUCGCCUCCUAAAAGGUAACGGAGGCGCUCAAAGGUUCCCUCAGAAUGGUUGGAAAUCAUUCAUAGAGUGUAAAGGCAUAAGGGAGCUUGACUGCGAGACCUACAAGUCGAGCAGGGUCGAAAGACGGACUUAGUGAUCCGGUGGUUCCGCAUGGAAGGGCCAUCGCUCAACGGAUAAAAGCUACCCCGGGGAUAACAGGCUUAUCUCCCCCAAGAGUUCACAUCGACGGGGAGGUUUGGCACCUCGAUGUCGGCUCAUCGCAUCCUGGGGCUGUAGUCGGUCCCAAGGGUUGGGCUGUUCGCCCAUUAAAGCGGUACGCGAGCUGGGUUCAGAACGUCGUGAGACAGUUCGGUCCCUAUCCGUCGUGGGCGUAGGAAAUUUGAGAGGAGCUGUCCUUAGUACGAGAGGACCGGGAUGGACAUACCUCUGGUGUACCAGUUGUCGUGCCAACGGCAUAGCUGGGUAGCUAUGUGUGGACGGGAUAAGUGCUGAAAGCAUCUAAGCAUGAAGCCCCCCUCAAGAUGAGAUUUCCCAACUUCGGUUAUAAGAUCCCUCAAAGAUGAUGAGGUUAAUAGGUUCGAGGUGGAAGCAUGGUGACAUGUGGAGCUGACGAAUACUAAUCGAUCGAAGACUUAAUCAA